rnacentral:rRNA from 1 species
ACGAACGCUGGCGGCAUGCCUAACACAUGCAAGUCGAGCGCCCGUAGCAAUACGGGAGCGGCGCACGGGUGAGUAGCGCGUGGGAACCUGCCCAGAGGUUCGGGACAACCGCGGGAAACUGCGGCUGAUACCGGAUGAUGCCUGAGGGCCAAAGAUUUAUCGCCUUUGGGUGAGCCCGCGUUGGAUUAGGUAGUUGGUGGGGUAAAGGCCUACCAAGCCUGCGAUCCAUAGCUGGUCUGAGAGGACGAUCAGCCACACUGGGACUGAGACACGGCCCAGACUCCUACGGGAGGCAGCAGUGGGGAAUCUUGCGCAAUGGGCGAAAGCCUGACGCAGCCAUGCCGCGUGAGUGAUGAAGGUCUUAGGAUUGUAAAGCUCUUUCGCUCGCGACGAUGAUGACGGUAGCGAGAGAAGAAGCCCCGGCUAACUUCGU